AUCGUAACUCCUACGGGAGGCAGCAGUGGGGAAUAUUGCGCAAUGGGCGAAAGCCUGACGCAGCGACGCCGCGUGAGGGAUGAAGGCCUUCGGGUUGUAAACCUCUUUCAGCAGGGACGAAGCGAGAGUGACGGUACCUGCAGAAGAAGCACCGGCCAACUACGUGCCAGCAGCCGCGGUAAUACGUAGGGUGCAAGCGUUGUCCGGAAUUAUUGGGCGUAAAGAGCUCGUAGGCGGUCUGUCGCGUCGGCUGUGAAAACUCGGGGCUCAACCCCGAGCCUGCAGUCGAUACGGGCAGACUAGAGUUCGGCAGGGGAGACUGGAAUUCCUGGUGUAGCGGUGAAAUGCGCAGAUAUCAGGAGGAACACCGGUGGCGAAGGCGGGUCUCUGGGCCGAUACUGACGCUGAGGAGCGAAAGCGUGGGGAGCGAACAGGAUUAGAUACCCGGGUAGUCCUAGAGC
rnacentral:rRNA from 1 species